GGCCGGGUAGCUCAGUAGGUAGAGCAGUCGAUUGAAAAUCGACGUGUCGGCGGUUCGAUUCCGUCCCCGGCCACCA
rnacentral:tRNA from 1 species